CAGCAGCCACGGGAAUACGAAGGGGGCUAGCGUUGCUCGGAAUCACUGGGCGUAAAGGGUGCGUAGGCGGGUUUCUAAGUCAGGGGUGAAAUCCUGGAGCUCAACUCCAGAACUGCCCUUGAUACUGGAAGUCUUGAGUAUGGGGGAGGUGAGUGGAACUGCGAGUGUAGAGGUGAAAUUCGUAGAUAUUCGCAAGAACACCAGUGGCGAAGGCGGCUCACUGGCCCAUAACUGACGCUGAGGCACGAAAGCGUGGGGAGCAAACAGGAUUAGAUACCCGGGUAGUCCCUGUCUCUUAUAC
rnacentral:rRNA from 1 species